rfam:Strongyloides ratti strain ED321 Heterogonic genome assembly, chromosome: 2
UCUUACGAUCAUAUUCUGUUGAAUGCACUGGAUCCCGUCCGAUCUCCGAAGUGAAUCAGCUGCAAGCUAUUUUAGUACUUGGGUAAAAGACCUCUUGGAAACCGUUAGUUGCAUAAGUC